UGCAAAUAGCUCUCAGCUGGCCUCAGACCUGUCAUUUGACUCCUUCCGCUCUUGUUAAAGCAUUGGAACUAGGGGCCCCUGCCCAUUAAAUGUGCAACAUCUGUUAUUCCAGGAAAUCUCUCUAAUUCAAUGGCAAAUUUUAUUCUCUUGUAUUUAAGUGGCCUGGAUUGUGUACAGAGCCAUAAGCACAAACUAUGGCUACAGAGCCUACUUUCCAACAGCCCCUCACAGAGACCCCUCCACACCUUGUCCCUCUGUGAGAUGCUACCACCAUCCGACUCUCUGCUCCUUGCCCCAGCUCUUGUCCACCACCAGCCUCAGAGUGCUGCAGUUACUGUGGUAACAGUGAGUAACAUUCUGGCAAUUGAGGGCUAGUCUGUGCACCUACUCAUCAUGACUCAGGUUAUUUCUUUGGAAACAUAGUUUGAGUUUUAAGCCAACCAUUUACAAUUUGCACUCAAGUAUUUGAGUAUGUUGCCUUUGUAUCGUCUCUUCUUGGAAUCCCAUGGAAAUGAAUGUUCAUAGUUACCAAAGUGAACCAGUGAAAGAAGCUUAGGGCUACAACGUACUAUAAACCUGAAAAUCAGUAUAGCAGUGUAUCACUCAGUAAAAUAGGUAAACCACAGAUCUGGGAUGGAUCAUACGGACUUGGCUUUCCUCAAGUCAUGAUGGAACUACAAGGAUAAAGUGCGAUGCUACUAUUCAGCAGAUGACAGAAGAUUUGCUAUACAACAAAGAGGGGGAACCAGAGAUGCGCUAAUCCAGGGAACGCAAGGCAUCACAAGACCCAAAGCCUUAGUGAAAUCAGGAAGACUCUCAGAAGUCAUCAACACUGGAAGCUAUCAGCCACAAGAGGGAAAUCUGUUUUCAUCCUGGAAUCCCACAUCCAGCCACGCCGUCAACCAGGUGCAUGGGAAGAUUAAAGACUAAAGCCAUUUCCAGGCAAGCAGGGGCAUCACAUAAAUAUCACCUUCCACAUCCCCUUUGUAAGGGAAAAUGGUGGAGGUAGUGCUCCACCAAAAUGAGGGUUCAGGUGGAUAAAAAGGGAAAUUGUGGAUUUAGAAAAAUGGAGAUUCCAACACUGUGUGAGGCAGAAGGGCGACACAGUUGGCAGCACAGGAAACUUCUAGAACAAGAACUCUGUAGCCAACUAGAGAUGGUAAACCAGAGUGUGUUCAACCUCAGAGAGGCUUGGUACAUUUGGGAAUGUUGUCCUAGUGUCUGCAGUUUAGCAUUUGUCCUGAGACUGUCAUUUGUUAAGGAGUGUUAUUAAUAGUUGUUGCAAGUAAGCCUGGACAGGGUGGGGAGGCCUCCACUCAGCUUCUGCCACGAUCAAGUGCAGCAGCAUCGUGCAAGACACGUGCAGUGAGCCCUCUUGCUCUGACACGUGACUAUGCCUGAAUGCUGAUGGGUGAUGAUUCAUCUCUUUUUCCCUUCGAUUCUUUCCAGCUCCUUGUUCCAUGUUAAAUUCACUAAUAAAAUGGCACGCACUUAGACACGAGUGGUUCAGGACAGCCAACUCCUGGUUUUAGGAGACAGCGGGAGAAAGACCCUAUUCCUGCAGGCCCUUCAGCAUCAGCCCGUCAUGCUGUGGCCUUGCUGAGCCCGCACGCGGAACCAGCCCAGGCGGUCAGUGGGAAACUGUGAAGUUUAAUUUUAGAGGGCCUCAUUUUGUUUUUAGAAACACUUUUUUUUUUUUAAUUUUGCAGUAAACUUUCAUCAGCGAGAAGCUAAAACAAGUAUGUAAAUGCAGGUUGUGUGAAUCAUUAAGAUCAGAAUUUUCACGUUAUGAAAGUUGUUGCUGAAUGUGUAGGUUGAUCAAAAUGUUUGUGGACAUGUACCGUCUACACGGGAGCUGUCAUCCUGUCACAGCCACGCAGAAAUCAGAGGGCACAGACCUGCUGAUGGUAUUUACUGUGAGCAGUUAUUUUAAGUAUUCUCAGAGACAACAAUUUGAUACGUGCAGCUGUCAUUUACAUCUCAUUCGGGGAGUGUGACUUUCUGUUUACAUCAAAUAACUGUUCUCCUUCGUUGGUUUUGUUUUUUAAUUUCUAGUUUUAUUGCAGAUUUGAAAAAUGAGGCAAUAGCUGUUUCUGUUGGCUCCAUUAUCUGCAGCAGAACUUUGCAAAUGGCUAAUGAUGGUGGUUUGAUAAUGUCAUCAGAUGUUCCAAAGAGAGAAGCAGUUCAGCCCAAUUAGGGCUCUUCACGCCUGUGCAACUCAUGGAAUCAAUGUAAAGGGGUUUCUUCUUUCACAAGUGAAAGAAGUAAUUUAAAUACAAUUUUUUGGAGGCGCCCUGCUCUAUGGAACAAAUAACACACUCUUAAUGCUGUUAAGAAACCAAAUGGUCUUGGCAAUGAUUUCUUGGCUAUGACACCACAGGCAACAAAAGUAAAAAUAGACAAGUGGGACCACAUCCAACAAGAAAGCUUCUGUAGGCAAAGGACACCAGCAAGAGAGGAAAAGGCACCCUCCAGAGUGGGAGAGAAACACUUGCCAGCCUUAUAUCUCACUGGGAGUGAACACCCAAAAUAUGACAAGAACUCCUACAAAUCAAUAGCAAAAAUUAAAUAAGUAAUAACUCAA